rnacentral:sRNA from 3 species
AAAGACCAAUCGCUGAAUCAUUUCGAUGAGCGGGGGAACCAAUUGUGGUGGUAUAAAACACCACGUGGGGUGAAUCCUUUUAAGGUAGGGCAAAAUCUCAUGCGCCCGAAUCCGUCAGCUAACCUCGUAAGCGUUAAAGAGAGCAAAG